rnacentral:rRNA from 1 species
AUGGCCCUCCUCGCCACCACCCGCCGGGCCUCCUCCCUUCCCAUCCUCCGCCGAGCCUCCUCGGUGCUGCUCGGCCCCGUGGCCUCGCCGUUCCCGGCGACUAGGCGCAGCUCGUCCUCCUCCAUCCGCGCCGCGAAGACGGCCUUAAUGAACGCCGCGAUGGACACCGUCAACGCCGAGCAUGGCUCCAGCGCCUGGGCCGCCGCACUGGACUCACUCCGGGCCGCCACCGACUCCCUCAGCAACGCCUCCUUCGAGGACCAGCUCCUCCACGGCAUCGACUCUGCCGUCAAGUCCUCCGAGCCGCCACGUAUCGCCGAGAUGGAGGAUACCGCGGGUUGCUUCCCCUUCGAAGUCAGUGAAAACAGAUACUUUGUUGGCUACGAUUUUAAAAGAUACAUUACUCUUAAAAGAACUUUUGAGGACGAGAAGAUUGAGGUUGUGACUCGUACGGACUGCCUUGAGAGGGAUGGAAAAUGGUCUUUGGAAUCCUUACGCAUGCAGCUGGGACAUGGCAAAGGUGAGAAGAAGGCCUCAAGACCUAGCCUCACCUUUGAUGUCAUCGUCUCCAAGAGCAAUGGCUACAAACUUCAAUUCACCUGUGUUGCAUAUCCGGACGACGUCACCAUCCGUUCCAUGAAUAUGACGCCCGGGGGGUCGCGAAAAGAGGAGGAGCUACUGGAGGAUAUGUAUAAGUAUGACGGUUUCAAUAAUCUCGAUGACAAUCUGAAGAAGUCAUUCCACAACUAUCUGGAGCUGCGUGGGAUCACGCCGACGACGAUGAACUUGUUUCGCGAGUACAUUAUUAGCAAUGGCACCCGCAAGCAACACUUUUGGCUGAACAAGCUGUCAGAUUUCGUCAAGAAAGAUUGA